UACGUAGGGACCGAGCGUUGUCCGGAAUCAUUGGGCGUAAAGAGCUCGUAGGCGGUUUGUCGCGUCUGCCGUGAAAGUCCGGGGCUCAACUCCGGAUCUGCGGUUGAUACGGGCGGGCUAGAGUUCGGUAGGGGAGACUGGAAUUCCUGGUGUAGCGGUGAAAUGCGCAGAUAUCAGGAGGAACACCGGUGGCGAAGGCGGGUCUCUGGGCCGAUACUGACGCUGAGGAGCGAAAGCGUGGGGAGCGAACAGG
rnacentral:rRNA from 1 species